GACGAACGCUGGCGGCGUGCCUAAUACAUGCAAGUCGAACGAAGCUGUUUUAACUGGUGCUUGCACCGACUUAAACAACUGAGUGGCGAACGGGUGAGUAACACGCGGGUAACCUGCCCCAAAGCGGGGGAUAACAUUUGGAAACAGAUGCUAAUACCGCAUAACCACAGAAACCACAUGGUUUCUGUGUCAAAGAUGGUUUCGGCUAUCGCUUUGGGAUGGACCCGCGGCGUAUUAGCUAGUUGGUAAGGUAAUGGCUUACCAAGGCAAUGAUACGUAGCCGAACUGAGAGGUUGAUCGGCCACAUUGGGACUGAGACACGGCCCAAACUCCUACGGGAGGCAGCAGUAGGGAAUCUUCCACAAUGGACGAAAGUCUGAUGGAGCAACGCCGCGUGAGUGAAGAAGGUUUUCGGAUCGUAAAACUCUGUUGUCAGAGAAGAACGUGUGCGAGAGUAACUGCUCGUGCAGUGACGGUAUCUGGCCAGAAAGCCACGGCUAACUACGUGCCAGCCGCCGCGGUAA
rnacentral:rRNA from 1 species